rnacentral:rRNA from 1 species
CGCGUAGGCGGUUAAACAAGUCAGAUGUGAAAGCCCCGGGCUCAACCUGGGAACUGCAUUUGAAACUGUUUAGCUAGAGUGUGGUAGAGGAGAGUGGAAUUUCAGGUGUAGCGGUGAAAUGCGUAGAUAUCUGAAGGAACACCAGUGGCGAAGGCGGCUCUCUGGACCAACACUGACGCUGAGGUGCGAAAGCGUGGGUAGCAAACG